AUGGGCGGCGAUAAGGGCUUCAGUCUGGAGGAGAUUAAGAAUGAGACCGUUGAUCUGGAAAAAAUUCCUAUAGAAGAAGUCUUUGAACAGCUAAAAUGCUCAAGAGAAGGUCUAACUUCAGAGGAAGGAGCCAACCGGCUUCAAGUUUUUGGACCGAACAAACUAGAAGAAAAAAAGGAGAGCAAAAUUCUCAAGUUUCUAGGCUUUAUGUGGAAUCCGUUGUCAUGGGUCAUGGAAGCUGCUGCACUUAUGGCUAUCGCCCUGGCUAAUGGUGGCGGAAGGCCUCCGGAUUGGCAGGACUUUGUUGGCAUCAUUGUGUUACUGUUUAUCAAUUCCACAAUCAGCUUUAUUGAAGAAAACAAUGCUGGUAAUGCAGCAGCUGCCCUUAUGGCUGGUCUUGCUCCCAAGACAAAGGUCCUUAGAGAUGGACGGUGGAGUGAGCAAGAUGCUUCAAUUUUAGUUCCAGGAGACAUAAUCAGCAUCAAACUGGGAGAUAUAGUUCCUGCCGAUGCCCGUCUGCUUGAGGGAGAUCCUUUGAAGAUCGAUCAAUCAGCCCUUACAGGCGAAUCCCUUCCUGUCACCAAGAAUCCUUCAGAUGAAGUAUUUUCCGGCUCAACAUGCAAACAGGGUGAAAUAGAAGCCGUUGUAAUAGCCACUGGUGUGCACACCUUUUUCGGCAAAGCUGCUCAUCUGGUGGACAGCACCAAUCAAGUAGGGCAUUUCCAGAAAGUUCUUACAGCUAUUGGUAAUUUCUGUAUUUGCUCAAUAGCUGUUGGAAUAAUCGUGGAGAUUAUAGUCAUGUACCCAAUACAGCAUCGCGAGUACAGAGAUGGGAUUGACAACUUGCUGGUUCUCUUAAUUGGAGGAAUACCGAUUGCAAUGCCAACUGUUUUAUCUGUAACAAUGGCUAUUGGCUCCCACAGGCUUUCUCAGCAGGGUGCUAUCACCAAGAGGAUGACUGCCAUUGAGGAAAUGGCAGGCAUGGAUGUUCUCUGCAGUGACAAAACUGGGACUCUGACCCUGAAUAAGCUUACUGUUGACAAAAAUCUGAUUGAAGUGUUUGCUAAGGGUGUGGAAAAAGAUCAAGUUGUUCUUUUUGCAGCUAGGGCUUCGAGAACUGAAAACCAGGACGCCAUUGAUGCCGCAAUUGUUGGGAUGCUUGCUGAUCCGAAGGAGGCACGAGCAGGUAUUAGAGAAGUUCACUUCCUUCCAUUUAAUCCCGUGGACAAGAGGACUGCUUUGACAUAUAUUGAUCCUAAUGGAAACUGGCAUCGUGUUAGCAAAGGUGCUCCUGAGCAGAUAGUAGCCCUUUGCAACUGCAAGGAGGACGUGAAGAAGAAGGUCCAUAUGGUGAUUGAUAAGUUUGCUGAACGUGGACUACGAUCUUUAGCUGUUGCAAGACAGGAAGUCCCUGAAAAAUCAAAAGAUAGUCCAGGUGCACCAUGGGAGUUUGUUGGUUUGCUGCCUCUGUUUGAUCCUCCAAGACAUGAUAGUGCAGAAACUAUAAGAAGAGCCCUUAACCUUGGUGUGAAUGUAAAGAUGAUUACUGGUGAUCAGCUUGCCAUUGGCAAAGAAACUGGCCGGAGGCUUGGAAUGGGAACAAACAUGUAUCCCUCUUCUUCAUUGCUUGGGCAAGACAAGGAUGCUUCAAUUGCAUCCCUCCCUGUAGAUGAGUUAAUAGAGAAGGCUGAUGGAUUUGCUGGAGUUUUUCCAGAGCACAAAUACGAAAUUGUUAAGAGACUGCAGGAGAGGAAGCAUAUUUGUGGAAUGACAGGGGAUGGUGUUAAUGAUGCUCCUGCUUUGAAGAAGGCCGAUAUUGGAAUUGCAGUAGCUGAUGCUACUGAUGCUGCUAGAAGUGCUUCUGACAUUGUUCUCACCGAACCUGGCUUGAGCGUGAUAAUAAGUGCUGUGCUGACUAGCAGGGCCAUUUUCCAAAGGAUGAAGAACUAUACUAUUUACGCAGUUUCUAUUACUAUACGUAUUGUGUUUGGCUUCAUGUUUAUUGCCUUGAUAUGGAAGUUUGACUUCGCUCCCUUCAUGGUUUUAAUUAUUGCCAUCCUAAAUGAUGGAACAAUAAUGACAAUAUCAAAGGAUCGAGUAAAGCCAUCUCCACUACCUGAUAGCUGGAAGUUGAAAGAAAUUUUCAGCACUGGCAUUGUACUCGGAGGUUACCUAGCCCUAAUGACAGUAAUAUUCUUUUGGGCUAUGAAACAAACAAACUUUUUCUCGGACACGUUUGGUGUAAGAUCGCUGAGGUUUAGUCCUGAAGAAAUGAUGGCAGCUCUAUACCUGCAAGUGAGUAUUGUGAGCCAGGCACUUAUUUUUGUGACAAGGUCUCGCAGCUGGUCUUUUGUUGAACGCCCUGGACUUCUCCUUCUCACUGCUUUUGCUGUGGCUCAGCUGAUAGCAACUUUAAUAGCUGUGUAUGCAAAUUGGGGCUUUGCACGGAUACAGGGUUGUGGAUGGGGAUGGGCUGGAGUUAUCUGGCUCUAUAGUGUGGUUACAUACAUCCCUCUUGAUAUUCUCAAGUUUGCAAUUCGCUAUGUCCUCAGUGGGAAAGCUUGGGAUAACCUUUUGGAGAACAAGACUGCUUUCACUACGAAGAAAGACUAUGGGAAAGAAGAGAGGGAAGCACAGUGGGCUGCAGCGCAGAGGACCCUGCAUGGUCUUCAACCGCCUGAAUCCACCUCCCUGUUUGCUGAUAAGAAUAGUUACAGGGAACUCUCAGAAAUUGCAGAGCAGGCCAAGCGCAGGGCUGAGAUGGCAAGACUGAGGGAACUGAAUACAUUGAAGGGGCACGUGGAGUCAGUGGUGAAGCUGAAGGGCCUCGACAUUGAUACAAUCCAACAGCAUUACACAGUCUGAAAACCGGAAUCCUCCCUUUUUUGUUUUCCUCUGACAGAGAGCUAAAAGAUUAUGAUGAUGAAAAUGUAGAAUUGAAGAAUAGAGUGAUACACAGCUCGCUAAAUUUGCAGUAAAUAAAAUGUCACUUGUUAUCGUUAAGCUCUAGCUUACAUCCUAGAAUGUUGCGCCAUUGUACUGUUUAACUUGAUUCGUAGCGUGACAGAUGAUGCGCUCAGAUGUGAAGUGGGCUAAGGGUUUUCUUAAUGUGUUCAUGAUACCUACCACCUUAACAAAUCUUUACUAAUCUUGAGAAACCAAAA